ACGGCCAUACCAUGCUGAAUAUACCGGUUCUCGUUAGAUCACUGAAGUCAAGCAUCAUUGGGCGCGGUCAGUACUUGGGUGGGUGACCACCUGGGAACACCGCGUGCCGU
rnacentral:rRNA from 1 species